rnacentral:rRNA from 1 species
UGAACGCUGGCGGCGUGGAUAAGGCAUGCAAGUCGAAAGGGUUUAGACCCUUGGCGAACGAGGUAGUAACACGUAGGUACGCACCCUUUAGUUGGGCAUAACCCCGCGAAAGCGGGGACAAUUCCCAAUGGUUCCCGAGAGCAAUCGAGGGAUAAAGAUUUAUCGCUAAAGGAGCGGCCUGCGACCUAUCAGCUAGUUGGUGAGGUAAUGGCUUACCAAGGCUAUGACGGGUAGGGGAGCUGAGAGGCUGACCCCCACCGAUGGAACUGAGAAACGGUCCAUACUCCUACGGGAGGCUGCAGUCAAGAAACUUCCGCAAUGGGCGAAAGCCUGACGGAGCGACGCCGCGUGGUUGAUGAAGUCCUUCGGGACGUAAAAACCUUUUAUGAUCAGGAAAGUUUAUUGAUCCGAUCAUGAAUAAGGGGCUCCAAACUCUGU